UACGUAUGGUGCAAGCGUUAUCCGGAAUGACUGGGUGUAAAGGGAGCGUAGACGGUUGUACAAGUCUGAUGUGAAAGCCCACGGCUCAACUGUGGGAGUGCAUUGGAAACUGUAGAACUAGAGUAUCGGAGAGGCAAGUGGAAUUCCUAGUGUAGCGGUGAAAUGCGUAGAUAUUAGGAGGAACACCAGUGGCGAAGGCGGCUUGCUGGACGAAAACUGACGUUGAGGCUCGAAAGCGUGGGGAGCGAACAGG
rnacentral:rRNA from 1 species